UGAAUACGAGAUGCUACGGCAUCGAAGCAGUCUAUGUCAUACUUCCAAGAAAAGCUUGCACUGUCAUAAACAAAUAAUGCCUGUACCAUAACCGACACAGGUGGGUAGGUAGAGUAUACUAAGGGGCGCGAGAUAACUCUCUCUAAGGAACUCGGCAAAAUGACUCCGUAACUUCGGGAGAAGGAGUGCCUUAUUUUAUAAGGUUGCAAUAACAAGAUCCAAGCAACUGUUUACCAAUAACACAGGUCUCCGCUAAGUCGUAAGACGAUGUAUGGGGGCUGACGCCUGCCCAGUGCCAGAAGGUUAAAGAAGUUGGUUAGCAUUAGCGAAGCUGAUAACUGAAGCCCUGGUGAACGGCGGCCGUAACUAUAACGGUCCUAAGGUAGCGAAAUUCCUUGUCGGGUAAGUUCCGACCCGCACGAAAGGCGUAAUGAUUUGGAUACUGUCUCGGAGAGGGGCUCGGUGAAAUAGACUUGUCUGUGAAGAUGCGGACUACCUGCACCAGGACAGAAAGACCCUAUGAAGCUUUACUGUAACUUGAGAUUGAAAUUGGACUUUAUUUGCGCAGUAUAGGUGGGAGACGUUGAAAAUAUUCUUGCGGGAAUAUUGGAGUCAUCAGUGAGAUACCACUCUUAUAAUGUUAGAUUUCUAACUUUGUAUCAUUAUCUGGUCAAAGAACAGUCUCAGGCGGGCAGUUUGACUGGGGCGGUCGCCUCCCAAACGGUAACGGAGGCGCACAAAGGUUUCCUCUGAACGUGUAGAAAUCGUAUCUAGAGUGUAAAGGCAUAAGGAAGCUUGUCUGUGAGACCUACAAGUCGAGCAGGGACGAAAGUCGGUCUUAGUGAUCUGACGGUGCUGAGUGGAAAGGCCGUCACUCAACGGAUAAAAGUUACUCUAGGAUAACAGGCUGAUCUCCCCCAAGAGUUCACAUCGACGGGGAGGUUUGGCACCUCGAUGUCGGCUCAUCGCAUCCUGGGGCGGUAGUACGUCCCAAGGGUUGGGCUGUUCGCCCAUGAAAGCGGUACGCGAGCUGGGUUCAGAACGUCGUGAGACAGUUCGGUCCAUAUCCGGUGUAGGCGUUAGAAUAUUGAGAGGAGCCUUCUUUAGUACGAGAGGACCGAGAAGGACAUACCUCUGGUGUACCAGUUAUCGUGCCAACGGUAAACGCUGGGUAGCUAUGUAUGGAGAGGAUAACCGCUGAAAGCAUCUAAGUGGGAAGCCCACCUCAAGAUAAGUAUUCCC
rnacentral:rRNA from 1 species